rnacentral:lncRNA from 1 species
AGAAGGGGGAGGGGACAGGCGGGGACAGGGACGUGGGGGCUCCUCCGAGACCCGGACAUGGGGGUCCUGGUGAGGGCCCAUAUCUGCAGGGACCUGGGGACACCGACAUGUGCGGAGCUGUGGGGCCCCUUUUCUGGGGGACAGGGCAGCCCCAAGGCACACACGUCUGGGGGUCCUGGGGACACGGGGGCCCGGGGGGCCGUAGGGACAGGGGGCUCUCCGAGGGUCCUGGGAACACGGCGGGCCCGGGGGACCCGGCGGCUGGGGAGGGUUGAGUGGGGGGUCCUGGGGAGCCCCGUCCCGGGGGGUGCGGGCCGCGGUGUCCCGGGACUGCGGCCCCUCGGGGGUGGGGGGGAGGGGGGGCGGUCCCGGUCCCUCCCGUCGGGGGCGGCCGCUGGGGCCCGAGACGGGACGGGUACAGGAACGGGCGCACCGGUACGGGACCGACACCGACCCGCGGUACCGGGACCAUGGCGGGGCUGGCACGGUGCCAGCGCGAGGCCGAGGAGGUGGCAGAGCUGAUGCGACAGAACGUGGUGCGGGCGCUGGAGCGGGAGGGGCACCUGGAGCAGCUGCAGAGCCGUGCCCAGGACCUGCGACAAGCGGUGGGACCACGGGGACACAGGGACCGGGGGAGGGAGGGGGCUUUAUAGGGACAUGUAAAUCCGGGGACACACAGAGCCCAGAGGACACUGUAGAGGCAUCAAGCCCCAGGGAGGACCGUUAUAGGAACAUAGGGCCUGGGGGGGACAGUAUAGGGACAUGCAGCCCUGCAAGAUACAUACAGAGCCCUGGGGGACACUAUGGGGACAUAAAUCCCAGGGGUGGACUUGCUCUAGGGACAUCGAGCCCUGCUGCUUCCUCCUGGGGAACUUAGAGGGCCCCAGGAGGGACAAACUAUUGGGUCACAGAGCUCUGGGGCGACCUAUAGUCCUGGGGGGCAUUGUGGGGACACAAAGGGGCUGCGGGACACUGUGGGGACAUAUAGCCUGGGGAAGAGGGACUCCAGGGCCAUAGGAGGGCUGGGGGGUGUCUGUUCCUAUAGGUCCCCCCAACCCCUGUGUAGCCCUUGGGGGACUGUUCCCUAUCCUCCCCAUGUCCCCACAGAGUGAAGCCUUCACCCGCACCGCACAGACGGUGACGCGGCGCCAGCGCAGGCGACAGCGGCGGUGGCACCUGGUGGCCCUCGGCCUCAGCCUCCUCCUCCUCUUCAUCCUGGGUCUGGCACUGGCGCUGGCCCUGGCACGGUCAUCGCCCGGGACUGUCACCAGCACUGUCCCCACCGCACGGGGGGAGACCAAGCACCCCCCCAGCACUGCGGGGACCCUGCUGGGACCCUCUGAUGACAGAACAACGGGGUCCCCACAAUAAAUAAACACCAGGAGCUGCGUGGGGAGACCCUACAAUAACAGCAACGAGCCAGUGGGAUGAUCUUCAAGGAGACUCAGCAACAGCAAACCUGGGGAGCUCUGGGGAGACCCUACCAUAAAUAAACCCUUUAAUAAAAUCUGCUCUGAAGAGACCCUACAAUAAAAAACCAGCAAGACUCACUCCAGGGAAACACUACAACAAGCACCAGGAGCUCCUUGGGGAGGCCCUACAGUCACAAACCAGGAAGAUGAACUUCAGGAAGACCCCAUAAUAAAUAAACACCAGGAUCUGUUUUGGGCUGACCCUACAAUAAUUAAGGCUUCAGAAUCUGAUUUGGAAAUACCCCACAACAACAAAUCAGCAGGAUGAAUUCUUGAGGAGACCCUACAAUAAAUAAACAUCAGGAUAUAUUGGGGAAGACCCCACAACAAGAAGCCUGUGGGAUCUACUUCAGGGAGACCCCACGAUAAAUAAACACCAGGAUCUGUUUUGGGGAGACUCUACAAUAACAAACCAGCAGGACCCACUCCUGGGAAACCCUACGAUAAAUAAGCACCAGCACAUGCUUUGGGGAGACCCUACAAUAACAGCAGUGGUAUCAGCUUGGGGGAGAUCCUACAAUCCCAAACCCACGGGAUGCAGGAAGAUCUUACAAUAACAAAUGUGCCAGAGCCUCCAGGGAGAUGCUACGAUCAAUAAACAUCAGGAUCUACUUCAGAGAGACCCUACAAUAACAAACCCCCAGGAUGAUCCCUGGGAAGACCCCACAAUAACAAACAUGGACCUCCUCUGGGGGAACCCUGUGAGAAAUAAACACCGUAACUUUUGUUUGGAGAGACCCUGUGAAAACCAACCAGCAGGACCCGCUCCAGGGAGACCCCAUGACAGACAUACUGGACCCUCUCUGGGGAGGCCCUACAGUAAAUAAACAUCACAAUCUGCUGGGGGUAGACCCUACAAUAACACAGUCAUGGGACCCACCCUGGGCACACCUGGCCCUGGCCAGAGGUGCCACCAACCUGGGCUGGGGGGCAGGAAGGGGCUGUGGCCCCUCCACCACGGUGGGGAACCCAGAGGGGACCCUGG